CAACUGCCCUUAGAAGGAGUAAACGAAGAGACAGGGCAGGAGAAGAAACCGGCCAAUCAACAAUACUCAAGCCGGUGGGACCAGAGACUCCAAGGGGGAGGGAAAGCGAUAUGCCUGAUGCUCCUGGUGAUAUGCCUACUAUGGCAGAUAGCUAUAACGAAAGCCCACUACAAUGGGACCCAGAAAUACACCACGAAGAAUGGAAAUGGCUUUUCCCUGGACCUGAUGCUCACCCAGACGGGGAGCCAGGUGGACCAGAGGAGGGAGAUCCCCAAACCAAAGAAAGAACCACACAAGUGGCAGGAGGAGAAGCCUCCCAAAGGAGAGAAGAAGGAGAUGACCCAAGGACCGAAGAGCAAAAGGCUUUUCCCACCAUUGACUUUUCAGCACUCACUCGGUCCCCCUGAUAAACAAUUGAACAGGAAAAAAAGAGAAGAACCUGACAGACAACCAGGCGGGAAGAACAGGGUCAGAAUUACAGUCCCACCUCAGAUAAUAACGGAAGCAGGGGAACAGAAAACAGUCGCAUUGUACAGGAUAAAACCUCUACCUGAAGUCGCCUACUGUGGAUGGACUCAUCAUCAGACCAAGGGAGAAGUCAUCUGGGAUCCCAAAGGAUGUGACCUGACAGUAAUUAAAGAAGAAAACGAAUGGGUGCUCAGCAUAAAGAACAUUGAACCAGUUGAAGGAGAAGAAUUUAUAGUUGAACUGACACAUACAGGACUGGUCGGUGGAAGCACUACAACCACCAUGAAAGUUGAAUUCACACCAGCACCCGAUCCCCAAGUACUUACAACAGCUAGAACCACGACGACUGUGACAGCAGCUGUAAACACCACAGUGGUCACGACUGGAGUAACAUCUACUACUCUGGGUGAGAAAUCCACUACACCUACCACAACACCGGUGAUUACACCUACAGUGAAACCCACGACGAGACCAGAAACAUCAGAAUCAGGAGGGUUUUUCACAGACAUUUGGAACUUGUUGACAAAGCCCAACAGUUCACCUCAAGAGAAUGAUAUGGACGAGACAGUGG
rnacentral:lncRNA from 1 species